rnacentral:rRNA from 1 species
AGAACGAACGCUGGCGGCAGGCUUAACACAUGCAAGUCGAACGGGCGUAGCAAUACGUCAGUGGCAGACGGGUGAGUAACACGUGGGAACCUUCCUAGGGGUACGGAACAACUCAGGGAAACUUGAGCUAAUACCGUAUACGUCCGUGAGGAGAAAGAUUCAUCGCCCCUAGACGGGCCCGCGUCGGAUUAGGUAGUUGGUGGGGUAACGCCUACCAAGCCUACGAUCCGUAGCUGAUCUGAGAGGAUGAUCAGCCACACUGGGACUGAGACACGGCCCAGACUCCUACGGGAGGCAGCAGUGGGGAAUCUUGGACAAGUGGGCGCAAGCCUGAUCCAGCCAUGCCGCGUGAGUGAAGAAGGCCUUAGGGUGUAAGCUCUUUACCGAGGACGAUAAUGACGGUACCUGGAGAAUAACGCCCCGACUAAAC